GAGUUUGACAUGGCUCAGAUUGAACGCUGGCGGAAUGCUUUACACAUGCAAGUCGAACGGUAGGAGGGGGCAACCCUUGAGAGUGGCGAACGGGUGAGUAAUAUAUCGGAACGUGCCCAGUCGUGGGGGAUAACGUAGCGAAAGUUACGCUAAUACCGCAUACGAUCUACGGAUGAAAGCGGGGGACUCGCAAGAGCCUCGCGCGAUUGGAGCGGCCGAUAUCAGAUUAGGUAGUUGGUGGGGUAAAGGCUCACCAAGCCAACGAUCUGUAGCUGGUCUGAGAGGACGACCAGCCACACUGGAACUGAGACACGGUCCAGACUCCUACGGGAGGCAGCAGUGGGGAAUUUUGGACAAUGGACGCAAGUCUGAUCCAGCCAUUCCGCGUGCAGGAUGAAGGCCCUCGGGUUGUAAACUGCUUUUGUACGGAACGAAAAGGUUUCUAUUAAUACUAGGAGCUCAUGACGGUACCGUAAGAAUAAGCACCGGCUAACUACGUG
rnacentral:rRNA from 1 species